rnacentral:rRNA from 1 species
AGAGCGAACGCUGGCGGCAUGCUUAACACAUGCAAGUCGCACGGGCGGGGGCAACUCUGUCAGUGGCGGACGGGUGAGUAACGCGUAGGUAUCUAUCCUUGGGUGGGGGACAACUGUGGGAAACUACAGCUAAUACCGCAUGAUAACUGAGGUUUAAAGGCGCAAGUCGCCUGGGGAGGAGCCUGCGUACGAUUAGCUAGUUGGUGGGGUAAAGGCCUACCAAGGCGACGAUCGUUAGCUGGUCUGAGAGGAUGAUCAGCCACAUUGGGACUGAGACACGGCCCAAACUCCUACGGGAGGCAGCAGUGGGGAAUAUUGGACAAUGGGCGCAAGCCUGAUCCAGCAAUGCCGCGUGUGUGAAGAAGGUCUUCGGAUUGUAAAGCACGUUUCGACGGGGACGAUGAUGACGGUACCCGUAGAAGAGCCCCGGCUAACUUCGUGCCAGCAGCCGC